rnacentral:rRNA from 1 species
UACGUAGGGUGCAAGCGUUGUCCGGAAUUAUUGGGCGUAAAGAGCUCGUAGGCGGUUUGUCGCGUCUGCUGUGAAAACCCGAGGCUCAACCUCGGGCCUGCAGUGGGUACGGGCAGACUAGAGUGCGGUAGGGGAGAUUGGAAUUCCUGGUGUAGCGGUGGAAUGCGCAGAUAGUCAGGAGGAACACCAAUGGGCGAAGGCAGAUCUCUGGGCCGUAACUGACGCUGAGGAGCGAAAGCGUGGGGAGCGAACAGG